AUGCGUUCCAAGGAGGCAAGCCUGUUCUGUGGCUCCAUUUCCUUAGACACCCCCAAGAACCUGUCCGUGGGCCGGGAGUGGGCCCGGAAUGCACCCUGCAUCCCGUGUGCCACUAUGUCCAGCAAGGCAGCUGUCAGGCCCCCAGACCUCCGGGGCUAUGUGGACAGGAUUCACCUUGAGAGCAAGAAACUCACCCCAAACCAGGAAGAAGGAAGGCUCGGGUCCGGGGUGGUGGGUCCCAUCAGGGGCGCUUCCUCCACUUCCAUCUGCAGCUCUUCAGCUGAUUCAGCCAGGCCACGGCCCACGUAGCUUGGGGAAGGGCAGAGAGUUAGGAUCAUGGCAAGGCAAGCACCCCGGAAAAGCCACACAUGCCCGAGACAGACACAGGGCAAGGCCUCACCUGCAGGUUGCUCUCCAGUGAAGUGGAGUGACUGCUGGGGGCAAUGACAGGAAAUGGUCCAAAGAAGCAAUAGCCCGGGCUAAGGGCAGCCCCAAACCCAACACUGAGUGGGGAGCCCGGGACUCUGGGGGCCAUGUCGGGGGCAUAGGCAGGCAGGGGCAACACCCACCAGGGCCUGAUCACGAGGGGUCUCUGGUACAGGACAUGUCUGUCCUCAGCCCUGAAGCCAGGCCCACAGGAGAAGGCAUUGGAGGACGCUUGGCAGGAGAUGGAGACUCCAGAAGGGGCUUGUGGGGGCACUGGGUACCUGCUGGGAACAGGCAGCUGGAGAGGGAGAGGCUCCCAAGGCAGGGAGCGGGGCGGGGGCGGGGGGGUAGUCAGACCACAGGAGGGCCCAGUGACCACAGGUAUGGGCUUGGCAGAGAGAACAAGCCAGAGGGCUGCACAACUAAGCCCUGGAGCCCAGGGACUGAGGCAGAGAAGAGGAGAUGGGCCUGCGAGCAGAAUGCUUGGUGAGUAAGGAACCUGGCCGCUGGAGAGCCAGCUGAGCCACCAGGGAGAGAAGCAACCAGAUGGGCAAAGGCAGAGCCUGCAGACGCACCCUGGAGUUUUCCCCGCUGGUCCCCGGCAUGGGAUGCCGGCCUCAGCAGCUGUUAGAGGGUCAAGGAGCUGGACCAACCCCCGGGGGAGGAAAGCAUCACGGCAAGGGAAGGGUCGAAGUCACGACCGCACCUCGAGAGGGAGACCUGUGGCCAAAGCCCGGGGGCACACACUACCGCUGUUCCCAUGCCCACAUUGGUCCUGAGACUCAGGCCCUGGGGUCCAGAACAGCUCAGCAUCAGGAAUGGGGCAGGGAAGGCCGAGAGGGAGGACGGGCUGGCUCCCACCAGAGCAGAGCCCUGGCGAUGGCUGAAAUCUGCCCUCACACCCUCCGGCCUGCCCUCCAUGGAGCCGGAGAACAGGCUGCUCCAGCCGCUGGGGCGACCCCCCGGCCUGCCCUCCUGGGAUGCAGAGGCCAUCAAGGGAUGCGCUACGGUGACAGGUGCCCAGGCCAGAGCCAGGGCUGUGGGCUUGCUCAGUUAGGAUCAACUGUUGGAUGACGGAAUGGCCGCGCGAGUAAAUGCAAGGACGCGACCAGCAAGGCCCCCGUUCAAAUGGGGCAGGGGUCGGAAGCUGCCCACACCCCUCCGGGAAACGAAUCCACCCUGCACCCUUUUCACCUGGAACUCCUCGCAUGGCCCACCUAGUGGCUCAGCUGCGGUGGUCGAGUCCUUUCAUUCAGUCGCCUGGAGAAACCAACAUCCCACAUACUCUAACUGAGCCCCAUUCUGUGCCAGGCUGGCGCUGGGACACCCUGAGGAGGUGUGGGGCUGUGGGGCUGGCCAAGGGCAUCCUAGGAGGGCCAAGUCAGGAAUUGGGAAGGGAGAGAAGGAGACAUUGAGAGAGGAUAGAGAAGGCAACAAGCAGAAAAAGCAUUUGGCUCUUAGAGGAAUCCAGUGGGGACACUCCCUGGCCAUGCGCCUCCUUUCCCAUCUGUCUAAGCUGCAUCUUCCCCGUUUCCAGGAGAUAACUUUGAUGGCUCAAGGGAUGUUAUGGGAUGAGCAGGCUCUGGGUCAGAGGACCAACAAGGGAAGCCAGCCAGGCCCCUGGACUGAAGAGUUGGGGCAGGGCUCCCUGUGCACAGGUGACUGAGUACUACGUCCUCUCAAGGCACAGACCUGCCCCUGCUGGCUCUCAGGUGCCCCAGAAACAAGUAGCCAGGUUAAAGGUACCACCCCUACACUCAAGGGAGCAGUGAGACCCCUCUGCCAAUGCCUCGGAAAAGUCCAGAGACCCAAGCAGGAUGGGGAUGUGGGGGGAUAACUUUUGAAAGUUUAUUGGCCCAGCACUGUGGCUCACGCCUGUAAUCCCAGCACUUUGGGAGGCCGAAGUGGGCAGAUCAUGAGGUCAAGACAUCAAGACCAUCCU